AACUAACGCUAUCAUUGAUACAGUUUCUGUACUAUAUUG
rnacentral:misc_RNA from 1 species